rnacentral:rRNA from 1 species
UACGUAGGGUGCAAGCGUUGUCCGGAAUUAUUGGGCGUAAAGAGCUCGUAGGCGGUCUGUCGCGUCUGCUGUGAAAACUCAGGGCUUAACCCUGAGCUUGCAGUGGGUACGGGCAGACUAGAGUGCGGUAGGGGAGACUGGAAUUCCUGGUGUAGCGGUGAAAUGCGCAGAUAUCAGGAGGAACACCGGUGGCGAAGGCGGUUCUCUGGGCCUGUAACUGACGCUGGAGGAGCGGAAAGCGUGGGGAGCAAACAG